rnacentral:rRNA from 1 species
UACGUAGGUGGCAAGCGUUAUCCGGAAUUAUUGGGCGUAAAGAGCUCGUAGGCGGUCUGUCGCGUCUGCUGUGAAAACUCAGGGCUUAACCCUGAGCUUGCAGUGGGUACGGGCAGACUAGAGUGCGGUAGGGGAGACUGGAAUUCCUGGUGUAGCGGUGAAAUGCGCAGAUAUCAGGAGGAACACCGGUGGCGAAGGCGGGUCUCUGGGCCGUAACUGACGCUGAGGAGCGAAAGCAUGGGGAGCGAACAGG